UGAACUUCCGUUUCUUUUGAAUCAACAGGAAGGAUUUUUCCUGCCUUCUGCAGUCAUCCUUAGUCCUUCAGGGCAGCGGAGAAGAAUCUAAUCAGGACCCCUGACCUUGUCAUUCAUUCUUUUUCUCACUCUUAAGUUAACUGCAGGCACCCUAGGGAAUGGAAUUGUAACUGCUUUGGACUUCAGAGGAGCAGGCCUAGCCAGAAAAACCACGUCAAAGUUCUCACAGCAAAACCAAGUAAAGAAGCCAGCUACAUUGUCAUGAAGACACUCAAGCUGACCUAUGAAGAGGUCCAUGUGUUAAGAAACUGCGGCCUGCCACCAACAGCCAUGUGAGUGAGCCAUCAUGGAAAUGGAUUUUACAGCUCAAUUCAAGCUUUCAGAUGGUGGCAACCUGGGCUGACAUCUUGAGCACAGCCUCUUGAAAAAUCUCUGAGCCAAAACCAACCAUUUAAGCAGCUCCUGAAUUUCAGACCCACAGAUAUGCUGACAUAAAUGUUUAUUGUAUUAACCCAUGAUUUUUCUUUUUAAUCACACAGUACUAGCCUAUUUUGGCAAAUCUUUUUCAAGAGACUCUUCAUUUUUUUCUUUUCUUUUUUUUAUUUUUUUGAGACAGAGUCUCGCUCUGUUGCCCAGGCUGGAGUGCCGUGGCUUAAUCUCAGCUCACUGCAACCUCCACCUCCCAGAUUCAAGCAAUUCUCCUGUCUCAGCCUCCUGAGUAGCUGGGAUUACAGGCGUGCACCACCAUACCCAGCUAAUUUUUGUAUUUUGUAUUUUUAGUAGAGACAGGGUUUUACCAUGUUGGUCAGGCUGGUCUCAAACUCCUGGCCUCAUGAUCCACCCACGUCAGCCUCCCAAAGUGCUGGGAUUACAGGUGUGAGCCACUGUGCCCUGCCUUUUUUUCUUUUAAUUGUCAUUUUAUAGCUCUCCACCGCAGCUUCCCCACACCCUUCCCUUCCAUGAUGAUGUUUACAGGCUUUGGGGGGACCACGGAACAAAGCUGGGGCCUGGCAGCCCCACUAGGUUGCCAGCUGGGGAGAACAAGGCACAAUUACAAAUUAUCACAACAAUUAGCACCUGUACUUGGGGGAUCUGCAAAUUGAGGAGGCCCCAGCUCCUCAUGGUACAGGGGUCUAUCUGGCAGUGAACUUACUCUGGAGACAAUGGUAUUCCUUCAGUCUGAGGGAGUUGAUGUUGAUGAACCCGGUGUCAUCAAUCGGC
rnacentral:lncRNA from 10 species